rnacentral:rRNA from 1 species
UCAAGAACAUUUGACAAUGGGCGAAAGCCUGAUCAAGCGACGCCGCGUGCAGGAAGAAGGCCUUCGGGUUGUAAACUGCGGUAGUUAGGGAACAAAUUAUUGAGCGUACCUAACGGAAAGAGGUGGGUAACUACGUGCCAGCACCAGCGGUAAUACGUAGACCUCAAGCGUUAUCCGGAUUUAUUGGGCGUAAAGAGCAUGUAGGAGGCCUGAUGCGUCUCUGGUUAAAGCCCACUGCCUAACAGUGGAAUCGCCAGGGAAACGAUCGGGCUGGAGGAGAUAAGAGGCUGACGGAACGCACGGUGUAGGGGUGAAAUCCGUUGAUAUCGUGCGGAACACCAAAGGCGAAGGCAGUCAGCUGGGAUCUUCCUGACUCUGAGAUGCGAAAGCGUGGGGAGCAAAAAGGAUUAGAUACCCCUGUAGUCC